GAUGAACGCUAGCUACAGGCUUAACACAUGCAAGUCGAGGGGAAACGACAUCGAAAGCUGCUUUUGGUGGGCGUCGACCGGCGCACGGGUGAGUAACGCGUAUCCAACCUGCCCACCACUUGGGGAUAACCUUGCGAAAGUAAGACUAAUACCCAAUGAUAUCCCACGAAGGCAUCCGAAUGGGAUUAAAGAUUUAUCGGUGAUGGGUGGGGAUGCGUCUGAUUAGCUUGUUGGCGGGGUAACGGCCCACCAAGGCAACGAUCAGUAGGGGUUCUGAGAGGAAGGUCCCCCACAUUGGAACUGAGACACGGUCCAAACUCCUACGGGAGGCAGCAGUGAGGAAUAUUGCACAAUGGGGGAAACCCUGAUGCAGCGAUGCCGCGUGGAGGAAGAAGGUUUUCGGAUUGUAAACUCCUGUCUUAAAGGAGAAGUCAGUGACGGUACUUUAGGAGGAAGCUCCGGCUAACUACGUG
rnacentral:rRNA from 1 species